UUCCUGUACCUUAAGUAAACAGAACUGUGGGGACACGUGUGGAGAGCACAAGCCGGAAAUGGAAAAGCCGGUGCAAGCGAGGUAGGAGUACAGUAGGCAAAUCCGCUGUACAAUCCGAAGACGUGAUGCGGACCGAAUUAAGAGUAGGGAAGUGUGUGAGCCAUGCGUCAAGAAAAGCCGCUAUUGUUUUACUUAAGCCCGUACCGUAAACCGACACAGGUGGAUGAGGAGAGAAUCCUAAGGCCGACGGGAGAAGCAUUGUUAAGGAACUCGGCAAAAUGACUCCGUAACUUCGGGAGAAGGAGUGCCAGCGAGAGCUGGCCGCAGAGAAUUGGCCCAAGCAACUGUUUAGCAAAAACACAGGUCUAUGCAAAACCGUAAGGUGAAGUAUAUGGGCUGACGCCUGCCCGGUGCUGGAAGGUUAAGAGGAGAGGUUAGCGGCAACGCGAAGCUUUGAAUUUAAGCCCCAGUAAACGGCGGCCGUAACUAUAACGGUCCUAAGGUAGCGAAAUUCCUUGUCGGGUAAGUUCCGACCCGCACGAAAGGCGUAAUGAUUUGGGCACUGUCUCAACAAUGCACCCGGUGAAAUUGAAAUACCAGUGAAGAUGCUGGUUACCUGCGCCAGGACGGAAAGACCCCAUGGAGCUUUACUCCAGCUUGAUACUGGGAUUCGGUAUUGCAUGUACAGGAUAGGUGGGAGGCUAGGAAGUGAUAACGCCAGUUGUCACGGAGCCGCUGUUGGGAUACCACCCUUGCAGUAUUGGAUUUCUAACCAGCGACCAUGAACUGGUCGGGGGACAAUGUCAGGUGGGGAGUUUGACUGGGGCGGUCGCCUCCGAAAGGGUAUCGGAGGCGCUCAAAGGUUCCCUCAGAAUGGACGGAAACCAUUCGAAGAGUGCAAAGGCAGAAGGGAGCUUGACUGCGACACCGACGCGUGGAGCAGGUACGAAAGUAGGACUUAGUGAUCCGGUGGUAUAAAGUGGGAUUGCCAUCGCUCAACGGAUAAAAGCUACCCUGGGAUAACAGGCUUAUCACUCCCAAGAGUUCACAUCGACGGAGUGGUUUGGCACCUCGAUGUCGGCUCAUCGCAUCCUGGGGCUGAAGUAGGUCCCAAGGGUUGGGCUGUUCGCCCAUUAAAGCGGUACGCGAGCCGGGUUCAGAACGUCGUGAGACAGUUCGGUCCCUAUCCGGCGCGGGCGUAGGAUAUUUGAGAGGAGCUGUCCUUAGUACGAGAGGACCGGGAUGGACUGGCCGCUGGUGUAUCUGUUGCAUACCAAAUGCAUGGCAGAGUAGCCAAGCCGGGACGGGAUAAACGCUGAAGGCAUCUAAGCGUGAAGCCCCCCUCAAGAUGAGAUAUCCCUACGUAAGUAGUAAGACCCCUUGAAGACGACGAGGUAGAUAGGUCAGAGGUGGAAGUACAGUAAUGUAUGGAGCUGACUGAUACUAAUCGGUCGAGGGCAUGAC
rnacentral:rRNA from 1 species